rnacentral:sRNA from 1 species
UUUGCGUUAGGGAUUGCAGCGGCAUCCUUUUUUGUGCAUAAGGGCACAAAAAAGAUAUAGCGUAAAGCCCGACCCUUG